AAAAGAUGGAUCUCAAAACAAACACUACUCACAACAACAAAACUUAUAUCUCUCAAAUAAUCAAACUUCAACUUCUGUAACAUAGAGUUUUUUAAAAAAACAAAGCAAACAUGAAUAAAGUGAGAAAACACAUGCCUUUCUAAAUAUCAAUCACGGUGAAGACAGAGACGGUGGUGCGCGGUGGAAGUUGGAACGACAGUGAUGCCUUCUGUUUCUUCCUCUUCUCUUUCUUUUUACGUGUUUUUUAUAUCAGUAUUAAUCUCAGAUCCCUCAUCCUCUGCCUUUCUUUUGAAAUUUGAUAGGGUGUAUUUAUAGAGUUUUUUUAUCUAUUUAGUUGCUUUCUUGCUU
rnacentral:lncRNA from 1 species